GAAAUGCGAUACGUAGUGUGAAUUGCAGAAUUCCGUGAACCAUCGAAUCUUUGAACGCAACUUGCGCCCGCGGCUUCGGCCAAAGGCAUGUCUGCCUCAGCGUCGGCUCACCCCCCUUCGUCCUCCCCACCUCCUCGUGCGUUGGUGGAUGGCGGAUCUGGCCCCCUCGGCUCCGCCCGCCAUUCGUGGCCGGCUCCGAGUCGGUUGAAGCACAGCGGUUUGAGCAUGGACCCCGUUCGUAGGGUAAUGGCUUGGUAGGUAGGCAUCCCCUACGCAGCCUGCCGUUGCCCGAGGGGACUUUGUUGGAGACCUAGCAGGAAUUCGGUUGUCCGGGCACCCCGGCACCGGAGCUUCUCACUUUCGACCUGAGCUCAGGCAAGACUACCCGCUGAACUUAA
rnacentral:misc_RNA from 1 species